UUUGGGGUAACCAACUAAUCCUAAAAAAAUUCACGCAUACAUAGGAAGACAUCUCCCUCUCUCUCCCUUUCUUGCAGAGAUUCAGUCACACACACAAGAUCCAGCAUCUCAUUCUGGCCACUGAACUUUCUCUCCAUCGGUCUCUUCAUCGUUUAUUCACUUCGCGCUCAUUCUGAGGGAUGUUCAGAUGUUCCUUGUCCUGUUCGGACGGUUUUGACGGGAUUUCUGGGCCGAACAGGACUUGCAGAAAAAAAGGUGAAUAAUGCGGCCCCGAGUCACCCUUUGGUGGCUCACUUAGUCACUUACAUCUGAAACAAGCAUUUACAUUGUGGACACAUUAGGCCGUAAUAUUACGGUUGGAGAGGCUGAAAGAAGCAGAGUAACAAUUAUAGAGCUG
rnacentral:lncRNA from 1 species